GGUGCAAGCGUUAAUCGGAAUUACUGGGCGUAAAGCGUGCGCAGGCGGUUUUGUAAGACUGUCGUGAAAUCCCCGGGCUCAACCUGGGAAAUGGCGAUGGUGACUGCAAGGCUAGAGUUUGGCAGAGGGGGGUAGAAUUCCACGUGUAGCAGUGAAAUGCGUAGAUAUGUGGAGGAACACCGAUGGCGAAGGCAGCCCCCUGGGUCAAAACUGACGCUCAUGCACGAAAGCGUGGGGAGCAAACAGGAUUAGAUACCCUGGUAGUCCACGCCCUAAACGAUGUCUACUAGUUGUCGGGUCUUAAUUGACUUGGUAACGCAGCUAACGCGUGAAGUAGACCGCCUGGGGAGUACGGUCGCAAGAUUAAAACUCAAAGGAAUUGACGGGGACCCGCACAAGCGGUGGAUGAUGUUGGAUUAAUUCGAUGCAACGCGAAAAACCUUACCUACCCUUGACAUGGCUGGAAUCCCUGAGAGAUUGGGGAAUUGCUCGAAAGAAAACCAGUACACAGUUGCCUGCAU
rnacentral:rRNA from 1 species